CCUACGGGUGGCAGCAGUAGGGAAUCUUCCGCAAUGGACGAAAGUCUGACGGAGCAACGCCGCGUGAGCGAAGAAGGUCUUCGGAUCGUAAAGCUCUGUUGUUAGGGAAGAACAAGUACGGGAGGAAAUGACCGUACCUUGACGGUACCUGACGAGGAAGCCACGGCUAACUACGUGCCAGCAGCCGCGGUAAUACGUAGGUGGCAAGCGUUGUCCGGAAUUAUUGGGCGUAAAGCGCGCGCAGGCGGUCUUUUAAGUCUGAUGUGAAAUCUUGCGGCUCAACCGUAGUAAGCCCUUGGAACUGAUUGGCUUGAGUGCAGGAGAGGAGAGUGGAAUUCCUAGUGUAGCGGUGAAAUGCGUAGAUAUUAGGAGGAACACCAGUGGCGAAGGCGACUCUCUGGACUGUAACUGACGCUGAGGCACGAAAGCGUGGGGAGCGAACAGGAUUAGAUACCCCAGUAGUC
rnacentral:rRNA from 1 species